UUGAAUGCGCAUCCAGAAUCAUGAUUUGACCAGCUUAGUAGAAGAAGCGGAAUGUAGCUGGGCAACGGGUAUUUCCGCCUUGUUCGUUGAUUGCGGCGGUUUUACGCAGUCAGACGUGCGCGCGGAUGAUUUUGAGGGUCGAUUCACGUCCAGUGUAAUGAAAAUGCGUUAGAACGUCUUGAACAUCAGCAAAAUGGAAAGAUGGCGCCACUUAGCUCGGCAAACCACGAAGGAUCAAUAACCUUUUGCCCCUCUCUCGACCUCGUAUUCUACUUUUUCC